rnacentral:lncRNA from 1 species
CUUCGGCUUAGAAGGGCUUAGACGGGAGUCCAUUUCUGCAAUAUUUAUUUUAUUUCUAGCUUUUUUAUUUAUAUAUAAAUACAAAAAUGUUACUCUUCUGUAGGACACAAAAGCCCGUGGCUCUAAGGAACUGGAGCAGAAAACACUCUGUAAAGAGAGGCUAAGACCAAGAAGUAAAUGGUUUUUUCUAUAAGCCAGAUUCUAAUAACUAAGGAGGUUGGAAUGAUUCUGUUGAUAUUGGUGAUGGUGGUAGGGAUGGUAUACAUUUUUUGGCA